AGGAAGCAACAUUUUUGUAAAGGAAAUUACGACUUUUACUCGGUUGGUUUAUUGCAAGCAAAUGCUUAGUUUGACAAAGUUUAAUUAUUCCCUUUGUUAGUUAUGCUUGGUGGUGAAGGAACUUCUUUGUUAUUUAUUUAUAAAUUUUUCUAUUUAUUUAUCCGACUCGAGUUGAUUUUUAGAUGAUACUAUACAAUAUACAUGGUACAUAAAAAUCUACAUUAAGCUAUUAAAGAAACAAUGUAUAAUACUUAUUUUGUGCUAUUGCAGUUAGGUAUUGGUCAGGCAGGGGUGCUUUGGCAUGGGGUGUUGCUCUAUUAUUAUUGGAGCCAAUAUUCGAAACCAAAUUGUUUGCAAUGCUUCUCAUCAUCUUUCUUCUAAAUCCCUCUCUUUGUUUCCUCUUUCUAAAUAGUACUUAGAAUGAGCCAGAUAAUAGCAUCUAUAAUUUGAUGCAAUAUGGUGAAGUUCUUUCAAUUUUCAAUCAUCGGUUAGGAGUAAAAGAUCAUCUCCAUUUUUAUAAAUAUGUUUGUUA
rnacentral:lncRNA from 1 species